CCCUUAGAUGUUCUGGGCCGCACGCGCGCUACACUGACUACUUCAACGAGUUGUUUCCUUGAUCGAAAGGUCUGGGUAAUCUUUGAAAGGUAGUCGUGAUGGGGAUAGAUCCUUGCAAUUUUUGAUCUUCAACGAGGAAUUCCUAGUAAUCGCAAGUCAUCAGCUUGCAUUGAUUACGUCCCUGCCCUUUGUACACACCGCCCGUCGCACCUACCGAUUGAAUGGUCCGGUGAAUCUUUAGGACUGUGGCUGAGGCCUUGCCUUGUGCGGGUCUGGCCGUGGGAAUUUAGUUAAACCUUACCAUUUAGAGGAAGGUGAAGUCGUAACA
rnacentral:rRNA from 1 species